UGACAACAGAGACUGGGGAAACUACGAAGCUUACAAUCAGUUUUUGAACAAGCUGCACCAAGACAGGCAAACACCAUCCCCUGGGCCAGCACGGAAUCCAAACCAUGUUGAUGUUGUCCACAUGGCCGUCCCGCGACCUGUCCCACAACAAAGGCCACAGUUCAACAUGGGCCCACUGGGUAUCCCAGCAGUAGUGGACCAGGCAGGUCGAGACAGGUAUAGCUACAAUAUGCAGCUUGGUGCCCAGGCAGCAGAGAGAGCUCGUGUGGUGGAGGAUUACAUGCAGAGGCAGAGGAUGGCAGCCAUGAAUAAAAUGAGGGCACAGAUUGACCUUUAU